UGAACACCAGGCAGCUGAUUUAAUCAUUUAAUCAAGAAUUAUUGUCCUGAAUGAGGAGCAGAGAUGCUGAUAAAGCAUUCCCACAUGUGUGGAGAUCCGGGCUGGUACUGCCUUUGGGACCGUCCACAAGAACAUGGAUGAUCUGUGAACCCGGUCACCUAUUCAUUCACUGCUUCCUGUGAAGACCUGGCCUUUCCUCUCUUUGGAUAAGAAGAGAAGAUGUCAAC